rnacentral:rRNA from 1 species
GAUGAACGCUGGCGGCGUGCCUAAUACAUGCAAGUCGGGCGAAUGGAUUGAGAGCUUGCUCUUAUGAAGUUAGCGGCGGACGGGUGAGUAACACGUGGGUAACCUGCCCAUAAGACUGGGAUAACUCCGGGAAACCGGGGCUAAUACCGGAUAACAUUUUGAACCGCAUGGUUCGAAAUUGAAAGGCGGCUUCGGCUGUCACUUAUGGAUGGACCCGCGUCGCAUUAGCUAGUUGGUGAGGUAACGGCUCACCAAGGCAACGAUGCGUAGCCGACCUGAGAGGGGGAUCGGCCACACUGGGACUGAGACACGGCCCAGACUCCUACGGGAGGCAGCAGUAGGGAAUCUUCCGCAAUGGACGAAAGUCUGACGGAGCAACGCCGCGUGAGUGAUGAAGGCUUUCGGGUCGUAAAACUCUGUUGUUAGGGAAGAACAAGUGCUAGUUGAAUAAGCUGGCACCUUGACGGUACCUAACCAGAAAGCCACGGCUAACUACGUGCCAGCCGCCGCCGUAA